CCUGUGAUAGAGAUUUGCUUGUCAGGCGGCGUGGUGGCUAAAGUUACGGUCACACUGCCCUUCUGUGGGAUCCCAUCCAUAUUGAUGGAGUGGACGCGGCCCAUCCACAGGUUUUGGUCAGACUGCAGUGACUACACGUGCUCACCAAGGAACCAGCGGGAAACUUGUGUGUUACUCCUCCUUGAAGACAAUUUCUGCAUUUUCAGCCUUAAAUUUUGCAAUACGGCAGAAUGAAAAACAGUGACUUGGCCUGUGCCAGAUCCCUAUUUGCCAUCGCUGUAUGUCACGCCGCAUCUGGAUACUUGAAGAAACCAAGGAAAUCCAAAAGGAAAACAAGGGUGAAAUCCUGGAUGGCAAGAAAAGAAAGGAGUGUCUACAGCAACUUAGUAGCAGAAAUGAAUCCCUAUGCUGCUUCUUGGCCAGAUGAAGCGGUCUUGUACACAGACUCCUCCAAUCUUGCUUGUCGCCUUCCAAGUACGUCAGAAGUAGGCGACACUGUUCAGCUUGGACCGUCAACAUCAUCAUCAUCAUCAUCUUCAUCACCAUCACCCUAUCCCAGCCUGCAAAUAAUUAGUGACUUAUAGCAGACAUGAGCUGGACUUGAAGCACUAGUUUAGAUUAGCAGCUGCGGUGGUGUUGGCUGAGGCUGCUUGAGCUCUACGUUCUGCUAAUUCUUUGCGUUGCACGAGUUGACUAAAGGCAGCGUUGUCUUGGCCACCAGCACCAUUACUGCGACUGGAUGAACGACAGUCAGUACAAAUAUAAGCGAUAGAAUCAUCGCCAUACUGUUUAAUACUGGCUACAAGAGGCUCAGGAAUACCGAGACACAUGGAGGUAGAACAAAACCAGUUGUUACAAUUCCUAUCACAGCCAAUACAAGAAUCAUCCAUUCGCUCUAAUCUAGCCUUGUAUUAGCUUUGUCUUUACAUUCCUCUCUCUCUAAAAGUA